rnacentral:misc_RNA from 1 species
GCACUAAAAACUGAAACCCAAUCAAGUGAAACAAAAGUUUCUCUCAAGAAAUGGAAAAAAGGAAGAGAAUAUUUUGGUUGUGUAAUCUUCUUCCAACUCUAUUAGUAACACUCCUACUUCUUCACAAACCCACUUUUCAGUGUGAAGUUUCUGCUGAAAAUGGACAAUGCAUUGACCCCAUGUUGGAGAGCAGUGAAAUUGGAGAGGAAGACUCGUCAUUGGAGUCCAGUCGGAGAAUUCUUCCGGCAAUGAAAUACAUUAGUCCCGGAGCUCUCCGGGCCGAUCAACCCGUCUGUGGGAAGGCUGGAAGUCCUUAUUCUGGUUGCCUUCCUCCACCAUCCAAUCGAUAUAACAGAGGGUGCGCAAGAAUCUACAUGUGUAGGCACUAAUUUAGAUCUAUUAAAUGUUAUGUUGUCAUGGCAAGGUCAAAUUUCUCUUUUAGAACUCUUUUCUUUCUUUUUUCUUGUUCAAUAACAAUUUGGUUCUUGUCAUUAUAAAUUAGGGACUAUAUAUUAUCAAUUCUUAUUUAUACAAAUAAAUUUACUUUAUUUUUAGAAAAU